UUUCAGCCCAAAUACAUUGCCCUAAUUUAUCUGGCGAUUUCAGUGUGCCAUUAAUCCCCACCGUGGGUGUCGUCCCGUGCUGAGCAUUGAGGAGGGAGCUUCUCUGACCAUCAGGUUAAUGGACGCAAGUAAUAGGAUAUAUUGUUACAUUUUCGUGGGUGGCAAACUUGUCCAAAAAAAUGAUGGGCAAUGGGAAUACUUGGGUGGAAGAAGCAAAGGUAUUCACAUAUAUAAAGGAAUGGCAUUUGAAGAAUUCACCAAAAAAAUCAUAGAGAAAUUCGACAUUUCCCUUGACGUGAUGAAGAUGCACUACACGCUGAAGUUCAAUCCCAGAGUCAUCCAAGAUUUAGAAGAUGAGGAUGAUUUGGAUAACGUGGUUUCCCACAGUGAUGACUUUGCAAAUGUAUACCUAGUAGACUUACCCUCUGUGGAAGCCAUUGAAGCAAAUAUCCCGAAUUCACAGUUGGCAUUUCGAGAUCCACCUAUCACGUUCCCGUCCUCUAAUGCAUCAUGCGAUCCAAUUCCUCAAACUAUGAUGCUAUCAAGAGGUUUUGCGUCGCGUUG